AUUUGUUUAUGGGAACGGGAUGGUAGCUGACAUAAUAGCUGAUGUAUAUCCGAUAUGGUUCACGCAGUCUAUAGGCUGCAGCCUGCACCUGCUUACAUCAGUAACUUGUUAUGGGUCUGAUAUAUUGACCCUAGAACAUGUACAAAUCGGUGAAAUCUAUCUCUCCUAUGGUGUUUAGGGUUUUCAGUACUAUUUAUCACAAUGGUUUUAGCAAGCAAGAGCGAUUCAUUUAGGGUUAUGGAUCUGCACAGAGAAAAGCUGUGUUAAAGGUUAAAACUUAAAAGAUACAUCAGAGAUAGGAUAGCAGCGAAAAGAUCAGAAGGGUUAGGAGAUUUGCUUCUGUUUUUCCUCCAGGAAAGGUGGCUCGGAGCUUCUGGCAAAAGGAUAAUUAAGUUUCUGGCCAACCAAGAUCGUUGAGUGACGUCACCACAUAGAUAUUAUACAAAUGGCAGCUUCGAUCUGUAGUUGUAUGUUGAUACCCAAUAGCUAAUCCAGUCCAGAUCUUUGUUCCAUGAAAAAGAUGACCAAGAAACUGAUGAAGGGAAGUAGGGACGUGGAAUAUCCCAUAAAGAUUAGUGAACAAAAGAAGCACGGCUUUCAAGAAUUGCAUUGUCGAGUAAGUCACUAGUUCCAACGGAUUCUUAAUUACCCAUUUCGUUUCAAUUAUGAUGUUAAACUAAUCGAUUUUAAGAUAAAAUAAAGACCCACUUGCUGCAUUCUCUCAAUAUAAUUCUACAAAUUUCUUUAAAAAAAUAAAGAAAAAAAAUUGAAGGGAAACUUCAUAAUUUGUGUUCUUUUUCUUUCUGCAACUUUAUUCCCCCAGCAUAGGCAUUACAGUCGCAGGCAGUGUACAGGAAGAAGGAAAGGGAAGUGGAAGGUAGGGAAGGGCAAGCACGUGUGGCGGAGCUUGCACCGAUUUUGAGAGCAACCGGCCAACGGGAAAUGAAAACGACUAGUACGACAGCGCCAGGGUGGAGAAAUUAAUGGGUUGUGGGUCCUAUGGACCACCCAGCUGUUGCCAUAUUUUUAUUUUUGUAACCCUUUUGUAUUUCUAUCUUGUAUUUGGAAAAAAAAAAACUAUUUAAUUCACACAAAUUUAAUUAAUUUUAUUUAAAAAAUU
rnacentral:misc_RNA from 1 species